UACGUAGGGUGCAAGCGUUGUCCGGAAUUAUUGGGCGUAAAGAGCUCGUAGGCGGCUUGUCACGUCGGCUGUGAAAACCUGGGGCUCAACCCCGGGCCUGCAGCCGAUACGGGCGGACUCGAGUUCGGCAGGGGAGACUGGAAUUCCUGGUGUAGCGGUGAAAUGCGCAGAUAUCAGGAGGAACACCGGUGGCGAAGGCGGGUCUCUGGGCCGAUACUGACGCUGAGGAGCGAAAGCGUGGGGAGCGAACAGG
rnacentral:rRNA from 1 species